rnacentral:rRNA from 1 species
AACGAACGCUGGCGGCAUGCCUAACACAUGCAAGUCGAACGGGAUCCUAGCUUGCUAGGUGAGAGUGGCGGACGGGUGAGUAACACGUGGGAAUCUGCCUUUUGGUUCGGGAUAACCGCGGGAAACUGCGGCUAAUACCGAAUGCCCUCGAGAGAGGAAAGAUUUAUCGCCAGAAGAGGAGCCCGCGUCCGAUUAGGUAGUUGGUGGGGUAAAGGCCUACCAAGCCGACGAUCGGUAGCUGGUCUGAGAGGAUGAUCAGCCACACUGGGACUGAGAUACGGCCCAGACUCCUACGGGA